GAGGGGCAGCAUGGGGAGUAGCAAUACUCUCUGAUGGCGACCGGCGCAAGGGUGCGUAACGCGUGAGCAACUUGCCCUCAUCAGGGGAAUAAUCGCUGGAAACGGCGUCUAAUGCCCCAUGGUGAUGUCCUCAGGCAUCUGAGGUCAUCUAAAGAUCCGUCGGAUGGGGAUAGGCUCGCGUGACAUUAGCUAGACGGCGGGGUAACGGCCCACCGUGGCGACGAUGUCUAGGGGUUCUGAGAGGAAGGUCCCCCACACUGGAACUGAGACACGGUCCAGACUCCUACGGGAGGCAGCAGUGAGGAAUAUUGGUCAAUGGCCGGAAGGCUGAACCAGCCAUGCCGCGUGAAGGUCAGUGCCCUAUGGGCGUUAAACUUCUUUUGUGCGGGAGCAAUAAUGGUCACGUGUGGCCAGACGAGAGUACCGUACGAAUAAGCAUCGGCUAACUCCGUGCCAGCAGCCGCGGUAAUACGGG
rnacentral:rRNA from 1 species